CGAGGAAGGGAACUCUUCGGAGUGAACGAACUGGAAUUGAGGGGGGCCGAGAAAAGCCCCACAGCAUUAAUGAUAAAUUCGACCGUACUGUAAACCGACACAGGUGGGUGAGUCGAGGAGACUAAGGCGUUCGAGAGAACUCUCGUUAAGGAACUAGGCAAAUGAGCCCCGUAACUUCGGGAUAAGGGGCGCCAGCGCAAGCUGGCCGCAGCGAAGCAGCCCAGGCGACUGUUUACCAAAAACACAGGUCUCUGCUAACACGAAAGUGGAUGUAUAGGGGCUGACGCCUGCCCAAUGCCAGUAGGUUAACAGGAGAUGUCAGGAGUAAUCCGAAGCAUUGAAUCGAAGCCCUGGUGAAUGGCGGCCGUAACUCUAACGGUCCUAAGGUAGCGAAAUUCCUUGUCGGCUAAAUACCGACCCGCAUGAAAGGCGUAACGACUUGGGCACUGUCUCAACGAGAAGCUCGGUGAAAUUGUAGCACCCGUGAAGAUGCGGGUUACGCGCAGUAGGACGGAAAGACCCCGUGGAGCUUUACUACACCCUGUCACUGCGAAUUGGGUGUAGAUGUAGAGAGUAGGUGGGAGCUUAGGCACCAAUGGAACACCACCCUUCUACAUCUGGUUCGCUAACCGUCACCAUUAUCUGGUGACGAGACAAUGACAGGCGGGUAGUUUGACUGGGGCGGUCGCCUCCCAAAAGGUAACGGAGGCGCCUAAAGUUGCACUCAGGCUGGUUGGAAAUCAGCCGUCGAGCGUAUAGGUAUAUAGUGCGAUUGACUGCGAGACAAACAGGUCGAGCAGUUACGAAAGUCGAGCUAAGUGACCCUCUGGUGGUGCGUGGGCACGCCAGGGUUCAUCGGAUAUAAGCUACCCCGGGGAUAACAGGCUGAUCUUGCCCGAGCGCUCACAGCGACGGCAUGGUUUGGCACCUCGAUGUCGGCUCGUCUCAUCCUGGGGCUGUACACGGUCCCAAGGGUUCCGGAGUUCACGGAUUAAAGAGGCACGCGAGCUGGGUUCAGAAUGCGUGAGCCAGUUCGGUCCCUAUCCACUGCGCGCGGAGGAAAUUUGAGAGGACUCGCUCCUAGUACGAGAGGACCGGAGUGAACCGACCUCUGGUGUACCCGUUGUGCCGCCAGGCGCAUACGCAGGGUAGCCACGUCGGGUCGUGAUAAGCGCUGAAAGCAUCUAAGCGCCAAGCACACCUCAAGAUGAGAUUUCCCAUCG
rnacentral:rRNA from 1 species